GUAGCAAAAUCAUUUGUUUUUUAAUUGAGAACUGGAAUGAAAGAUUGAACAAAAAACCUUUAUUUUUUUAAAUUUAUUGUAAUUUUUAUUUUAUGUCAAAAUACAUAAAUUAGUAAAAGGGACGAUAAGACCCUAAAAGCUUUAGUAUUAUUUGUUUUUUUUUAUUGUUGUUAUUUAUAAAGUAAAAUAGGUAUUUUGGCUGGGGUAGCAGUUUUUACUACAAAAAUUUUUUGUACAAUUCGGGGAAAAGGUCCUUUAUAUAAGGAUAAUUAGGUUAAGUUACUUUAGGGAUAACAGCAUAAUAAUAACAGGAAGAUCUUAUUUAUGUUAUUGAUUUUGACCUCGAUGUUGAAUUAAAUCUCUUUAUAAAGCAAAAAUUAUAUUUGAAAGUUUGUUCAACUUUUAAAAAUUU
rnacentral:rRNA from 1 species